rnacentral:rRNA from 1 species
AACGAACGCUGGCGGCAUGCCUAACACAUGCAAGUCGAACGAGAUCUUCGGGUCUAGUGGCGCACGGGUGCGUAACGCGUGGGUAUCUGCCCUUUGGUUCGGAAUAACAGUUGGAAACGACUGCUAAUACCGGAUGAUGACGAAAGUCCAAAGAUUUAUCGCCAGAGGAUGAGCCCGCGUAGGAUUAGCUAGUUGGUGUGGUAAAGGCGCACCAAGGCGACGAUCCUUAGCUGGUCUGAGAGGAUGAUCAGCCACACUGGGACUGAGACACGGCCCAGACUCCUACGGGAGGCAGCAGUGGGGAAUAUUGGACAAUGGGCGAAAGCCUGAUCCAGCAAUGCCGCGUGAGUGAUGAAGGCCUUAGGGUUGUAAAGCUCUUUUACCCGGGAUGAUAAUGACAGUACCGGGAGAAUAAGCUCCGGCUAACCCCGUGCCAGCAGCCGCCGCAG